rnacentral:rRNA from 1 species
CAGCCGCCGCGGGAAAACGGAGGGGGCUAGCGUUGUUCGGAAUUACUGGGCGUAAAGCGCACGUAGGCGGCUUGGUAAGUUAGAGGUGAAAGCCCAGGGCUCAACCCUGGAACUGCCUUUGAUACUGUCGAUCUGGAGUAUGGAAGAGGUGAGUGGAAUUCCGAGUGUAGAGGUGAGAUUCGUAGAUAUUCGGAGGAACACCAGUGGCGAAGGCGGCUCACUGGUCCAUUACUGACGCUGAGGUGCGAAAGCGUGGGGAGCAAACAGGAUUAGAUACCCCCGUAGUCCCUGUCUCUUAUAC